UCCCGGCUGGCUCAGAUGGUAAAGAAUCUGCCUGCAGUGCAGGAGACCCAGGUUUGAUCCCUGGAUUGGGAA
rnacentral:tRNA from 1 species